UCGAGCGGACCUUUUAAAAGCUUGCUUUUGAAAGGUCAGCGGCGGACGGGUGAGUAACACGUGGGCAACCUGCCUGUAAGACUGGGAUAACUUCGGGAAACCGGAGCUAAUACCGGAUAAUAUAAGGAACCUCCUGGUUCUUUAUUGAAAGAUGGUUUCGGCUAUCACUUGCAGAUGGGCCCGCGGCGCAUUAGCUAGUUGGUGAGGUAACGGCUCACCAAGGCGACGAUGCGUAGCCGACCUGAGAGGGUGAUCGGCCACACUGGGACUGAGACACGGCCCAGACUCCUACGGGAGGCAGCAGUAGGGAAUCUUCCACAAUGGACGAAAGUCUGAUGGAGCAACGCCGCGUGAGCGAUGAAGGCCUUCGGGUCGUAAAGCUCUGUUGUUAGGGAAGAACAAGUGCGAGAGUAACUGCUCGCACCUUGACGGUACCUAACCAGAAAGCCACGGCUAACUACGUGCCAGCAGCCGCGGUAAUACGUAGGUGGCAAGCGUUGUCCGGAAUUAUUGGGCGUAAAGCGCGCGCAGGUGGUCCUUUAAGUCUGAUGUGAAAGCCCACGGCUCAACCGUGGAGGGUCAUUGGAAACUGGGGGACUUGAGUGCAGAAGAGGAAAGUGGAAUUCCAAGUGUAGCGGUGAAAUGCGUAGAGAUUUGGAGGAACACCAGUGGCGAAGGCGACUUUCUGGUCUGUAACUGACACUGAGGCGCGAAAGCGUGG
rnacentral:rRNA from 1 species